AGCUGGUUCCCUCCGAAGUUUCCCUCAGGAUAGCUGGAGCCCAUUACGAGUUCUAUCAGGUAAAGCCAAUGAUUAGAGGCAUUGGGGACGCAACGUCCUCGACCUAUUCUCAAACUUUAAAUAGGUAGGAUGGCUCGUCUUCUUCGGUGAGCCGUGCCACGGAAUCGGGUGCUCCAAGUGGGCCAUUUUUGGUAAGCAGAACUGGCGAUGCGGGAUGAACCGGAAGCCGGG
rnacentral:ncRNA from 1 species